rnacentral:rRNA from 1 species
AACGAACGCUGGCGGCAUGCCUAACACAUGCAAGUCGAACGAGACCUUCGGGUCUAGUGGCGCACGGGUGCGUAACGCGUGGGAACCUGCCCUUAGGUUCGGAAUAACUCCCCGAAAGGGGUGCUAAUACCGGAUAAUGUCUUCGGACCAAAGAUUUAUCGCCUUUGGAUGGGCCCGCGUUGGAUUAGCUAGUUGGUAGGGUAAAAGCCUACCAAGGCGACGAUCCAUAGCUGGUCGGAGAGGAUGAUCAGCCACACUGGGACUGAGACACGGCCCAGACUCCUACGGGAGGCAGCAGUGGGGAAUAUUGGACAAUGGGCGAAAGCCUGAUCCAGCAAUGCCGCGUGAGUGAUGAAGGCCUUAGGGUUGUAAAGCUCUUUUACCCGGGAUGAUAAUGACAGUACCGGGAGAAUAAGCGCCGGCUAACUCCGG